AGUGUAGAUUCAGAGUUUGAUCCUGGCUCAGGACGAACGCUGGCGGCGUGCUUAACACAUGCAAGUCGAGCGGUAAGGCCCUUCGGGGUACACGAGCGGCGAACGGGUGAGUAACACGUGAGUAAUCUGCCCUUCACUUCGGGAUAACUACCGGAAACGGUGGCUAAUACCGGAUAUGACUCCCUUCCGCAUGGUUGGGGGUGGAAAGUUCCGGCGGUGGAGGAUGUGCUCGCGGCCUAUCAGCUUGUUGGUGAGGUAAUGGCUCACCAAGGCUUCGACGGGUAGCCGGCCUGAGAGGGUGACCGGCCACACUGGGACUGAGACACGGCCCAG
rnacentral:rRNA from 1 species